GUGCUUGCUUCAGCAGCACAUAUACUAAAAUUGGAAUGAUACAGAGAAGAUUAGCAUGGCCCCUGUGCAAGGAAGAUUCGCAAAUUCAUGAAGUGUUCCAUAUUUUU
rnacentral:snRNA from 1 species